AUGAACGCUGGCGGCGUGCCUAAUACAUGCAAGUCGAGCGAACGGACGAGAAGCUUGCUUCUCUGAUGUUAGCGGCGGACGGGUGAGUAACACGUGGAUAACCUACCUAUAAGACUGGGAUAACUUCGGGAAACCGUAGCUAAUACCGGAUAAUAUUUUGAACCGCAUGGUUCAAAAGUGAAAGACGGUCUUGCUGUCACUUAUAGGUGGAUCCGCGCUGCAUUAGCUAGUUGGUAAGGUAACGGCUUACCAAGGCAACGAUGCAUAGCCGACCUGAGAGGGUGAUCGGCCACACUGGAACUGAGACACGGUCCAGACUCCUACGGGAGGCAGCAGUAGGGAAUCUUCCGCAAUGGGCGAAAGCCUGACGGAGCAACGCCGCGUGAGUGAUGAAGGUCUUCGGAUCGUAAAACUCUGUUAUUAGGGAAGAACAUAUGUGUAAGUAACUGUGCACAUCUUGACGGUACCUAAUCAGAAAGCCACGGCUAACUACGUG
rnacentral:rRNA from 1 species